rnacentral:rRNA from 1 species
GAUGAACGCUAGCGGCAGGCCUAACACAUGCAAGUCGAGGGGCAGCACGGAAUGUAGCUUGCUACAUCUGGUGGCGACCGGCGCACGGGUGCGUAACGCGUAUGCAACCUACCUUGAACAGGGGGAUAAUUCGGAGAAAUCUGGUCUAAUACCCCAUAAUAUCGGAAUAGGCAUCUAUUCUGGUUAAAAACUCCGGUGGUUCAAGAUGGGCAUGCGUUGUAUUAGCUAGUUGGUGAGGUAACGGCUACCAAGACAUCGAUGGAUAGGGGUUCUGAGAGGAAGGUCCUCCACACUGGUACUGAGACACGGACCAGACUCCUACGGGAGGCAGCAGUGAGGAAUAUUGGUCAAUGGGCGAGAGCCUGAACCAGCCAAGUCGCGUGAAGGAUGACUGCCCUAUGGGUUGUAAACUUCUUUUAUAGGGGAAUAAAAAGUGGGACGUGUCCUAUAUUGUAUGUACCCUAUGAAUAAGCAUCGGCUAACUCCGUGCCAGCAGCCGCUGUAACAC